CUAAUUUUCCUGCAGUUUAUUUUUCCAUCAUUGUGAAAACAUUUACAAAAAAUGAAACAAUAAGCAAUCUGUAACACAACCAGUGACUGACAUGUAUUGCGUGACUUUCGCGCCAUAGUUAUUCAUUAUGUUAAUUUAUGCAUGUAGCUUUAUACUUGUGUACAACUUGUACGACUCGCACGAGUAUCAUAAUAAACCCUGCAGUUCAUGAAACACGACAUGGCUGUCAGUAGCGGGAUCUUCUAGAAGUCACAGACUGGAAGGAGAAAGAAAAACGUGAGUUUAUUCCAAUUGUUCUUUGGUACAAGCUAGCGAAAUGAGCGAUUUGAUCGGAUUUGAAACUCCUAAACUCGACAUGGCUUUCAGUAGCGGGAUCUUCUAGAAGUCACAGACUGGAAGGAGAAAGAAAAACGUGAGUUUAUUCCAAUUGUUCUUUGGUAUAAGCCAGCGAAAUGAGCGAUUUGAUCGGAUUUAAAACUCCCAAAAUAGACUGGACCACGAGCCCCGACAUUGAAUUGAAGUUCAAACGUUUUCGCCAGAAAUGUGAAUUAUUAUUUGACGGGCCGCUAAAACAGAGGUCGGAGGAACAGAAGUGUAGAUAUUUACUCCUCUGGACGGGAGAUUAUGGCCUUGACUUGUUUAAUACAUGGAAUUUGAGCACAGAAGAGGCGAACAAAUUGGCCGAAUAUUGGAAGCGUUUCGAAGAGCAGGUGAAACCACAAUCCAACCACUUACUAAAUCGAUUUUACCUAAGAUCCCUGAA